UCAUGAUGAGGAAUUUGGGGUUUUGAGUGAAAGAGCUUCUGAGAUAAUUUUUUGGAGUCAAAGUUUGCGCUAUGAGAAAAUGGAGGAGUAACCACCUCUUCUGAAUUGCUCUUUGGAUGUUAUUGAGAUUUGACGGCAAGUGGAUCGUUCGGUGGUCGUAGGAUUGCUGAAAGCAAUCAUGGAUAUUCUUCAUAGUUAUUUUCAGGCAACUAAGUAGCAGACUGUUGUCAGUUUCAGAUCAUUCAGCUUAUUUCCUUUGGCAGGUUGUCACAUUGGUGUCUUUUAUUUAAUCUUGG